rnacentral:rRNA from 1 species
UACGAAGGGGGCUAGCGUUGUUCGGAAUCACUGGGCGUAAAGCGCACGUAGGCGGACGUUUAAGUCAGGGGUGAAAUCCCAGGGCUCAACCCUGGAACUGCCCUUGAUACUGGACGUCUCGAGUCCGGGAGAGGUGAGUGGAACUGCGAGUGUAGAGGUGAAAUUCGUAGAUAUUCGCAAGAACACCAGUGGCGAAGGCGGCUCACUGGCCCGGUACUGACGCUGAGGUGCGAAAGCGUGGGGAGCAAACAGG